GUAUCAAACGAGGAGAGAAACGUAAACGAACGCCUACUCCUUCUCGACCCAGCUUCACAUCGUCCUUUUUCUCUCCCUCAUUUUUUCCUCCCGGGCCUAGGGUUUCCGCCGCCGCCGCCGUCGCCGUCGUCACCGCCGCUGGCUUCCGGAGGAUGGCCCGCUUCUACCCCGACUCUUCUCUCACCCUAUUCAAUCUCGACUAGCACCACCGCCGCUUCUUUGAGCUCGUCUAUGGGUGCGGGGAAGAGGAUGGCAUCGAGGUGCAGACGGCCCUGGCUCGGGGAGGCGACCUCCAUCGCCGCCACGAGAGGAGCAGGGGUGGAGGCUGCUCUUUGGGUACGAGAGGAGCACAACAGGGGAUUGUUCAGAGGGUAGGCCAAGGGACGCCGAGUCGAGUCAAGGCCGUCAGAGCGAGCACGUUCAUGGCUUUUUGUGAUCUUCCUGGCUGAUUUGGGUGUGAAUCGCGCCUUCGUCCUGUAAAACAUGGCGCCGCAGGGGCUCUACCUGCACCCCAGACGUCGACGCUGCGCCGGCUCAUCCUCGAGGUCCGACGACCCCAGGCCCGACCUUGAUGAGUGCCCAAUCUGCUUCCCCGCCAGUCCCCUUUUAUUCUAUCCGAGCCUUAGUUGGUCAAGUGUUGCGCUAACUGAAACAUGAAUUGAGUGAUGAUACUAUAGAUUUCAUUGGCCAUGUGCUUGCUCUUUACAGGAACGAUAGGGUUCUUGUGGAUCGUGUUGGUCGUUCUGGGGCAUUGGAGUGGUCCAACUACCUGACGACGGUCAAGAUCGAGGUGCUGUCCGUGUAGUGGUUGCUCGGCCGUGACCAUGGGACCUUUUCCUAUUUUAUUAUUGGCUGUGUGACGAGAAGUCAGAGCAAAAAAUCCGAAGCGACUCCUCCCUUGUAAGUUCCAUGUACUGGGAUUUUACUUCUUGAUUUUUUUUCUCUAAAUGGUAGAAUGAUGCUUCUUCUGAUAUUGUAUUCUAGAAGAAUCCUAUGUUUUGUUCUUGGUACUAUAGAAGUGCAUCUCCCUUUUAUGCUGAUAGCAAGAUGGUCUUAAUUUUCAAUGCAAAUAAAUGAUUACUGGAGCCCAUGCAUUUUUCUGAGGGAGCCCAUGCAUAUUGUACAGCAAUGCAGUAUGUGGUGCUGUUUUUCAUUUUUUAUUUAUAAUCAGUGGCAAUACAGUGCCAGUAUUUUCCUCUUUGAUAUGGGUGCAAGUAUUUCUAUUUGGUAUUUAACUUAUAAUUGCCGAUUUUCUGAAAAAAGGGGCCAAAGAUUAGUCUGACAAUCUUUAUAUCUCACUCUUGUGGGAAGUACAAUAAAGAAAGUAUGUUCUUCAGGCUUAUGUUUCCCAGAUUGGCAGCUCUCAGUCAAACUUCUUUACUGAUCACUUCACCAUCGACAUCCACCCGAUCGAGCGGUUGUCGCCGAGCUCCACGGCUUCUGUGUCUACCGGAGAUGGGUUCUUGUGGGUCAGCUCACAAGAAGGUCGUCGGACUGCCCAAGAAGCUGUGCCUCGCCUCGUCGCCGCCGUCCAAGGACAACAAGGUUGUCGACGAUGUUCUGGUCGGUGUCAACCUCAAGGUCAAGUUGUUCGUCCCCAGUAGCAGGAGCGCUGACUCUGAUACGGUGUGACGGCUGGCGUCCUCGUCGAGGUCGUUCUUGUCGUCAACUUCAUCUCCAACCCAUCCACGGGUGUACCAUCUCCUGGAGUGCCCGUUCUGCUUCCUGGAAUUGAUUUUCACUAGGAACAGAAGCUUCAACAGUUUGUUGCUGAAGGAGAGCCGAGCAAGGAUGAAACAGAAGCUUUGAUGGCAUUCCAAGUUCGUGUCUGCAUUCUCUAAGAAACUGUUGAUGCUGCUCAUACUGACAUCUGCGGCCAAUUAUUUGAAAAGGCAAUGCAUUUUAUAGUUUAUUGCGCCUUUCAUUAACACACUACAUAAUGUUAGGUUUAAUUCCAGAUAUGCAUUAGUUCAGCAAAGUUGCUGGCAUGUUCUGUGUAAGUGUUCUUCUUACCCUUCUAGGAUAUUGCAGGUUGUUAAGGAAGAAAUUUUGUCAGUUGAUGGCACAAUGUCACAGUGUCUAAACUUUUUUUUUCGAGAGUAUCACAGUGUCUCUUGAAAAAGGAGGCUGCUAUGACCAUCUUUAGUAAAGCAGUAUGCCUCUCCCCUAAAAAAUGUGUUACAUAGAUUGGCGUAUAUUUUUCUGUAAAACUACUAUAUCUGUUGGUAUAUUAAAGUGCAAAUCCAAUUUAUUUUUUGCA